UAGGGAAUCUUCCACAAUGGACGAAAGUCUGAUGGAGCAACGCCGCGUGAGUGAUGAAGGGUUUCGGCUCGUAAAACUCUGUUGUUGGAGAAGAACGGGUGUCAGAGUAACUGUUGACAUCGUGACGGUAUCCAACCAGAAAGCCACGGCUAACUACGUGCCAGCAGCCGCGGUAAUACGUAGGUGGCAAGCGUUGUCCGGAUUUAUUGGGCGUAAAGCGAGCGCAGGCGGUUUUUUAGGUCUGAUGUGAAAGCCUUCGGCUUAACCGGAGAAGUGCAUCGGAAACCGGGAGACUUGAGUGCAGAAGAGGACAGUGGAACUCCAUGUGUAGCGGUGAAAUGCGUAGAUAUAUGGAAGAACACCAGUGGCGAAGGCGGCUGUCUGGUCUGCAACUGACGCUGAGGCUCGAAAGCAUGGGUAGCGAACAGGAUUAGAUACCCUGGUAGUCCAUGCCGUAAACGAUGAGUGCUAAGUGUUGGAGGGUUUCCGCCCUUCAGUGCUGCAGCUAACGCAUUAAGCACUCCGCCUGGGGGAGUACGACCGCAAGGUU
rnacentral:rRNA from 1 species